GGCUACUUUGGUUGAUUCCUUUCUAGCAUAUCUUGAUGAACUCUCUAAUGUAAACAAGUUUCAGGUUUCUAAAGGCUUUUUACUUCUCCGUGUAAAUGAAGUAAUAACUAUGUUGGUUGUUAUUAAGUGAGUGGUCCAGGGGCUUUAUAAAAUAGCUGGAAGCAAACUCAAUGGCUUGAUUGCUGGGGCUUGGGGAUGUCUUCGAGAGAAAAAGGGUUCUUAUUGACAACUAAGCCAACCCCAUGAUGACCUAUGAGUUUUUUUAACAUCAGAAGUUGGAAGGAUUCGAACACUUCCGCAGAUUAAUUGAAAGCGUGUAAGCUGCCUUGGAUACCUAGGCAAGAAUCUUGACGGGAUAGAAACAAGAAUGCCUUUGAACUUCUUGGGCCUUGGCGUGGGUGGUGGGUGUGGCGUUGGAUUAGGACUUAGAUGGGGAUUUGGCACAACUUUCGGGAGUAAGUAUCGGUCCUCAAGGAUGAUAUUUCAGGGAAUGGAAUUCGACAACAAGGAUCAAAAUCAGAGUUAUGAUAUCAAGGACUCGAAAGAUUCAUCCAGAAAUUCCAGACUUAUGCAUUGUUGGAAGAGUUUCUUAAUCUUUCUAAAGAACUUGGAAGCAUUCUGGUUAACAAUACAAGAGUUUGUUAUUCCAUGGAAUCAUAUGUGCUUCAAUGCCCUUAUGGAAAGACUGGACCCAAUUGUACAUGGAACAGAUACGUCCUUCAGGGAGCUAUCACUAAACAAAUGACUGCAAUAGAAGAAAUGGUUGCAAGUGAGUACAAUUAGCUAGACCCUCAUCUUUGUGACAAGAUCUUGAAGUUGGUCAUUUGUGAAGCGUUCUAGUUUACUAUUAGUUGCAGUGUAAUAAUUAAGCUUCAUAAUUUCUUUGUGUUUGGAGCCAAAUUGUAUAUAAAUGUACACAUUAUUAAGAUUUCAUUAUGUAUAUGUACAAGUAAAAGAUUUCAUUUUUAA